GACGAACGCUGGCGGCGUGCUUAACACAUGCAAGUCGAACGGAAAGGCCUGCUUUCCCUUGUGGAUUGCGGGUACUCGAGUGGCGAACGGGUGAGUAACACGUGAGUGAUCUGCCCCCAACUUGGGUAUAAGCCUGGGAAACUGGGUCUAAUUCCCGAUAGGACUGCAGGGUGGUGCCUGUGGUGGAAAACGAUUUUCUAGUUGUUGGGGAUGAGCUCGCGGCCUAUCAGCUUGUUGGUGGGGUAAUGGCCUACCAAGGCGGCGACGGGUAGCCGGCCUGAGAGGGUGGACGGCCACAUUGGGACUGAGAUACGGCCCAGACUCCUACGGGAGGCAGCAGUGGGGAAUAUUGCACAAUGGGCGGAAGCCUGAUGCAGCGACGCCGCGUGGGGGAUGACGGCCUUCGGGUUGUAAACUCCUUUCGACCGCGAGGAAGCCACCUGGUUGGAAGGGUGGUGACGGUAGUGGUAGAAGAAGCACCGGCUAACUACGUG
rnacentral:rRNA from 1 species